rnacentral:lncRNA from 1 species
CCUGCCAACGCAAGGAGCAGGUGAACGUAACGUUGCUAUCGUGCGAGUGAUCAAUACCAUACUUGCCUUACGAGACCCUUGAGACAAUCGUUGAUGUGACAGUUUGAAGCCUUCGGAGCCUUUUAAACAGUUGUUGUGCAAAUAGGCCACAUUGUGAUGUAAUUUUUCCCGUUUUAGAAAUAGUCCGUAGUUCACGAAGAUGCUGUAACCGUUAGCUUCGAGACGCAUCAACAUACACCACUGAUCAAUCUAAAUACCAUAGGAGUGAAUUGAGUACAAAGAAAUCCGAGUAGUACUUACUUAGUGUAUUCUCUCAUCCCGUGUAUUCGAAUGGAAUUGCAUAAAAUAGGUCUACGUAAACAAACAGAAUCGUUACGUUUGAGGCCGACGAUUUCAAGGGUCAGAAUAGAAACUUUGCUUCAUCUCAAGGAAGUGACAGCUUGGUAUACUAGGCGUGCUUGAUGGCUUUUUUACUCGGCACGCAAUUAUUGUAUCACAACAUGGACCGCGUAUUGCGUUUUGGACAAAUCUAUUACAUUGACAAUGUACUACUAUCUGAGGCAGCGGUGAAGUGUCCUCAGGGGAAACCAGCCGAAGCAACUGCGACUCGUCUGGAAAGGUAGUACUGCUGGCCCUCGCAAUGCCUAGUAGUGAUAUUAGCCAUGAUGACUCAGUCUCCACGCCACCGUUAGUGAGAUGGUCCCUCUGAUAACAGAAGCCACAAAGCCCUUGCUCUGACAGAAUUGCGGGGUCUCCCUUCUACCGUCGUACCCUUGACCUUAAUUUCAAAUUUUUCACCCGUUUCCUUUCUGCUCACUACGACACCAGCACCAUACGGAGGCUUACACAGAUUUGCACAAAAACUAGAUAGAUAUUAACAAUAUUACAAUCAACGCCAUCGCCACCGUCAGUUAAAACAGUAACAGCGGCAUUGCAGGGUUUUCCAUACGCUAGUCGCUCACGCACACAAAGUGCUUAGGCUGAAUUGAAGUAGCGUCUGCUGCAGCGUCCGCCACAGAGCGACACAGAUGAACAAGUUUAAAUGUGUUUUUUUCUUCCGGCGUUCCAAGUUUCGCUGGCGGAAGAACGUUUACAUAAAAGGGGGACCAGUUGCAAACUCUGAUAGGUCCCUUGACACCAGUACAAAAAAAGUACGGCUUCGCAGCUAGGUUGGUAUGGAUGCUUCGGAGCGGCACAGUGAGCGGGGGACGACGGUUCUGUUGGUCAGUUUCUGUUAAUGUAGCAUAUAUGAUUGCAUUUGUAAUUUGGAAAUGAUCGUCGAUGUGGCAUUAGUUCUUUGUUGUGUUUACCGAGGCAAAGAUGGCCAGAAAAAAAAUGGAUAAGAAACACGCCGCUUCAGGCUCGAUACGAACGAGGGAAUGAAAAAGACAUUUUACAGAUUUUCAUUAUCGAUUCUUAGAAGUAGGGGAGACGUUUAUAUGUGGAAUAUUACAGUCAUCAGUCUUCUGAUUCUUCAGUACGCUUAAAAUUCAGCAUAAAGAUUAUGCAAUGGAUUCGAUUUGCAGCAGCAACACAACAUAUUGAAACAACUGACGAAAGGUAGGUAAUGUUUUUGUUACAUUUAGACAUCGUGGGAUGACGCUUUCCGCGAUUUUGCUCAAUCUAUGAAUUUAUUAAUAAAUAAUUUUCUUAAAUAAAAUAGUGCAUACUUUUUGUGAUUUAAAACUAAACGGUUUCCUUAAAGAGCCAAAAACCACUGAUAGGCUAUUCAAACCCCGCCAUCGAUGCGCAUUACGUCCGGGAUAAAAUGAAAACAGCCCUCGGUAUAAUGUCCUGGUAUUCAAUUGAUUCAAUAAAAUGUAUUGAGUUGAACGUACAAAUAAAGAAUUACUACGAGUAUGAGUUCCGCCUUUUAUAACGCGGAAAGAUUAGCUUAACUUAACGAUAACUAAGGCGUAACUCGUAGUUCGUUAAUUGUAAUUAACUGCAGAUCGGCACGUAAUUCAUUCAGUUGAUAAGUAAUGUGAUAACCUGUGCCACUAUCUAUCUAUACUUAAGGAUGAGGAUCUUCUACACUUCUAGAGAAGUCAUUCUACUCGAAGGAUAAAGAAAGUCAUUUGCUAAAUGCAAAAGAAAAAGCGGCACUAGAUCAGAUCUCUUUCAAACUAUGGUACAACAUAUUUCAACAGAUUAAGGCCACUCGUUUGAACCUCAUGGAACGCAGCCGUUAGUAAAUACGGUGAGAUAGUCAGCGGCACUGAUUUGUGUUCGAUGCCGAUCAGAAAUACGGGCGAAGGGAGAAAAGCGUCAUCGAUCGCAUUAGAUGUUUGCAGAUGGUAAUCAAACACAGGUUAUUUUGUGCUAAAUGAAGCUGGACCUUUCGGCUGAAAUAAAUAUGACGUCGCAUCGCAAGCCGCCGACUACGAAAGUAACGUUGUUCAGCCGCGACUCAUUCCUAAGAAAACGACAAAUCAAGGAUAGUGAAAAUGGUGAAAACGACCUACAAAUAAACAUCGUCUAAGGAUCA